rnacentral:rRNA from 1 species
AACGAACGCUGGCGGCAGGCUUAACACAUGCAAGUCGAACGCCCCGCAAGGGGAGUGGCAGACGGGUGAGUAACGCGUGGGAAUCUACCUAGUUCUACGGAACAACUGAGGGAAACUUCAGCUAAUACCGUAUACGCCCUACGGGGGAAAGAUUUAUCGGAAUUAGAUGAGCCCGCGUAAGAUUAGCUAGUUGGUGGGGUAAUGGCCUACCAAGGCGACGAUCUUUAGCUGGUCUGAGAGGAUGAUCAGCCACACUGGGACUGAGACACGGCCCAGACUCCUACGGGAGGCAGCAGUGGGGAAUAUUGGACAAUGGGCGCAAGCCUGAUCCAGCCAUGCCGCGUGAGUGAUGAAGGCCUUAGGGUUGUAAAGCUCUUUCAGUGGGGAAGAAGAAAGUGACGGUACCAACAGAAGAAGCGAC